UCUCAGGGUCCGAGUUGUAGUUUGUAGAGGAUGCUUCGGGUACUGCUCCGGUUUAAGUUCCUUGGAACAGGACGUCAUAGAGGGUGAGAGUCCCGUAUGUGAUCGGCCGCCACGCCCGUGUGAAGCUCCUUCGACGAGUCGAGUUGUUUGGGAAUGCAGCUCAAAAUGGGUGGUAAAUUUCAUCUAAAGCUAAAUAUUGGCCAGAGACCGAUAGCGCACAAGUAGAGUGAUCGAAAGAUGAAAAGCACUUUGGAAAGAGAGUUAAACAGUACGUGAAAUUGUUGAAAGGGAAGCGCUUGCGACCAGACUUGCCUGCAGGUGAUCAAUCGGUAUUUUUACCGGUGCACUCGCUUGCGGUCAGGCCAGCAUCGGUUCGGGCGGCUGGAUAAAGUCCCCCGGAAUGUGGCUCCUCACGGGGAGUGUUAUAGCCGGGGGUGGAAUGCAGCCCGCCGGGACCGAGGACCGCGCUUCGGCUAGGAUGCUGGCGUAAUGGUUGUAAGCGACCCGUCUUGAAACACGGACCAAGGAGUCUAACAUCUAUGCGAGUGUUUGGGUGUCAAACCCAUGCGCGUAAUGAAAGUGAACGGAGGUGGGAACCCUGAAGGGUGCACCAUCGACCGAUCCUGAUGUCUUCGGAUGGAUUUGAGUAAGAGCAUAGCUGUUGGGACCCGAAAGAUGGUGAACUAUGCCUGAAUAGGGUGAAGCCAGAGGAAACUCUGGUGGAGGCUCGCAGCGGUUCUGACGUGCAAAUCGAUCGUCAAAUUUGGGUAUAGGGGCGAAAGACUAAUCGAACCAUUGUCGGGCAGCACUUCAGAGACCGUCCACCUCAUCAGAUGCCGACGUCUUGUUUUUGCGGCUAGGUGGUUAAUUGAAAUACCUGUAUUUCCAGCCCCCACAGGGGGGGCAACACCAUUACUUGCGUGGAUGCUUCCGCCUGGAGCAAACACGCAGCGGCUCGGAGAGCCGUGCACAGACCAAAUAAUGGUGGCCGGCCCUUGACGGGGCUGGUUCAGAUAUGGCCGAGCCCAUCUCAGCAAUGAGGUGGCCCCGAAGACAGUUUCGCUAUUGCCUCCGGGGCCGCAUGGUAUUAGCGCUAGUAGCUGGUUCCUGCCGAAGUUUCCCUCAGGAUAGCAGUAACGUGAUAAGUUUUAUGAGGUAAAGCGAAUGAUUAGAGGACUCAGGGACGCAAAGUUUUUGACCUAUUCUCAAACUUCGAAUAUGUAAGAAGUCCUUGUUACUUAGUUGAACGUGGACAUUUGAAUGCACCGUUACUAGUGGGCCAUUUUUGGUAAGCAGAACUGGCGAUGCGGGAUGAACCGAACGCGAGGUUAAGGUGCCGGAAUGCACGCUCAUCAGACACCACAAAAGGUGUUAGUUCAUCUAGACAGCCGGACGGUGGCCAUGGAAGUCGGAAUCCGCCAAGGAGUCAGGGUGCUGCCUGCAGUUACACGCUCCUCAUAGUUAUAUACUAGAGUUGUCCAAGAAUCUCCGGGCUCUUGCCAUAAACUCAAUCGUUUCAAAUUCGUGGAAUGCCUGCUCUAACAACAGUGCAUCACGAGCCCAGACACUUGAUCCAAGGCGUCUCUGGGUCUACAGACUAAAUGGAACGGGCCUUCUCACGGGCCAUGAUAUAGUCGAGUCCACCUCUGCGAAGAGGCGGCGUUGGACCCAGGGUUGCUGGAAGACCGACACACCGCCGUGUGAAGGCAGUGGGUUUGGGUUCUCCUGCAGAAACCUCUGGUAUGCUUUCAUCCCCGGUGAAGGCAGCCAACGUCCACGGUGUAACAACUCACCGGCCGAAUGAACUAGCCCUGAAAAUGGAUGGCGCUCAAGCGUGCUACCCAUACCUCGCCGCCAGGGUAGAUA
rnacentral:rRNA from 1 species